rnacentral:misc_RNA from 1 species
GAUGAAGACGUAGCGAAAUGCGAUAAGUAAUGUGAAUUGCAGAAUUCAGUGAAUCAUCGAAUCUUUGAACGCACAUUGCGCCCGCCAGUAUUCUGGCGGGCAUGCCUGUUCGAGCGUCAUUUCAACCAUCAAGCCCCGGGCUUGUGUUGGGGACCUGCGGCUGCCGCAGGCCCUGAAAUGCAGUGGCGGGCUCGCUGUCACUCCGAGCGUAGUAGUUACAUCUCGCUCUGGGCGUGCUGCGGGUUCCGGCCGUUAAAAGCCUUAUUUACCCAAGGUUGACCUCGGAUCAGGUAGGAAGACCCGCUGAACUUAAGCAUAUCAAUAAGCGGAGGA